CAAUGGACUGCAAUGUGCAUAAGUUUUUUCAAAUAUUGCAAGACAAUUUUUUUAUAAACAUUUUGCCAUAGGAGGAUUGUAAUAGUGUAACCUAAAUUGAGAUAAAGAAAAAGAAAAUGUGAAAGGAUCCGUACAAUAAAACUCUUUCUACUGUGGUUAGUUUUAGAUACUCUGUACAUUAAAUUGCUGAUUUUAAGUAUACAAAAAGCAAGUAAUUUACCACGCAAGAUUUUAGAAAUUCUGCAUUUAAAGUACGAAUUUCUAUACUGUAAUGUCAAAUGACAUCACAAUAUAAAAUGGAAAGAGCUUACCCAUGGUGCAAUAGAGAACUCUUGAGGGGGCCCCUGCAAGUUAACCAAUAAUCUAAUAAGAAGGAAUGCAAGAAAAAUAAAACCAGGGGGCGGACGCAGAAAUUUUUAAUUAGAGGGGUGAUUAGCGUUUAAAAGUGCUUUAAAGAUAUAUAAUUUACAAGGCAUUUUACAUUCACUUUGUUUAAAAGCGCUAAUGUUAGUCUCUAAUUCCAAUUCUCAUGCCGUAAAUUCAAUUUCCAUAAAUAUAUGGUUAAAAAUGUAAUUAAUUGAAAUACGUAUUUACAUACAUGUCGGCAUGAGUAUUAUACAUUUGAAAGAGUAUCUAUUUGAUAUAUUUCACAUGUAUUUUCAAUUUAGAACAAGUGGAGCAAAUGGAGGAAAAUAAUGUUGAAAAGUAAAAAAUAGUGACUGCCUCAAGCAAGAAGUAGCUGUCGAUAAAAUAAUCAUAACUUGAGCUGCAGACAUUGGAUCGAGGUGAUUCGAGUUGGGUUGGAAAGAUAAGGCACGUUUCUACAACUUUCAUGUUUUGGAAGAAGUCAAAUUCGUAUCAUAAGAUAGCCAAAAUUACCGUGCAAAGUCCAGCUUGUUACCUGUCGAAUACAGCUUUACCUGUGAUGCAGCACUUAUUGUUUUUGUCAUAUCUGGAGUUAUAUAGAUCCAAUGAACCUGAUAUUUGAACCAAUGGAAAGCUAACUCAAGUGGUAAUAAUUUAUCUGUUGAUCAUAAGUCCAAACUCGCUGCACAAUGUAUCUGAAAAUUGGCAUCAAGUUGCAUGUUCCAGCUGUCUUGAAACUGGACAGAAACAAGUUGCAUUGCCUACUUGAAUUUUGCAUAUUUCUUUGCCUAUAAAAGGGCACCUUGGCCACGAUUUUGAAGAAUCAAAUCCUCUCUAUCAUAUUAUAGUUUCCUUCAUUUUCUUUGUAACAUUUCACUAUGUAUUUCUAAACAUUUAGCUAGAGCUAAGGGUGAAACUUUGAUGAAUGUUUAGUAUUAUCUUUGAUCUUUCAUUUUGUUCUUCAAUGUUCAUCUUCUUACUUGGUUGAAGUAUAUGUUCUACAAAUGGUUUUGGUUUGUUAAAGACUUUGAUUUAUUGUUGACAAUUUUGGCACAAUAAAUACUUAGAUAAUCUCUACAUACCAACAACUUAUUUUGACAUAUUCUCUCAAACAAUUAUCAAGAUCUAUCUUUUAGUAUAUUUGUGAUUAAUGUUUUAUCUUCCAUAUGAGAUCACUCCUUAGUUGAUUUUCAUAUGAGUUAAAUUAAAGAUCAAGUGCAAUUUCUACUCAUUUAUCCGAAGUGAAUCCCCGACGCUCUAGUAUUCGUCUCAAUCGUAUUUCCACCAAUCGUUCACUACUCAUAGAAUAGUUUAUUUCCUUCCAAUUCCCUGUGGUUCGACCUCGGACUUCCAAGAUUUACUACUUGCGACAACCUGCACUUGGGUUUGCAACCUUAAAGUUGUAGCAAGUUUUUGGCGGCGCUAUCAAAUUCUGUACAAAUUGAAUAUUUUGAUUUGGAUUUUUAAAUAAUUUAUAUUCGACCCAAAGAAAUGGAGAUUUACAUUUAAAACACAUUUCUUCAUUAAUAUUUUGCUCAUCACAAGAAAAUG
rnacentral:lncRNA from 1 species